AAGUGCGAAAGUUGUUUUGAAGGAGUUCAAGAGACUAACCGAUAAUCGAAUCCAUGUGUUGAUUUGGGACUGUAUCAUGAGGUCUUGAUUGAUUUGUCAAUUUCUAUGUGUGUUGAUGUGAGGUUCUAUCUCAGAGGUAAGGAAUUUUUAGUUCUUUUUUUUCAUCAAGUUUUGGGACACGUCAUCUCUGAAUUCUUAUUUUGCAGAUUAAAUUUAGGAAAUAGGUUGGUUAAAGUUUUUGAUAUUUAGAAUGAAUGAUUUUGUUUUUGUUUAUUAUUUUUUUAGUCUUUUGUUAAGUCUAUGUGAAAAUUCUAUCAAUGAAGAACACAAUCAGCUCUAAAUUUGUGAAUUGUGACUUUGACUUUGGCUUUUGCAAGCAAAUGAUGUGUUCAGCAUCAGUCUCUUGGAUUGGUGAGAAUCCAAAAAAAAGUUUGGUUUAAUUUAUUUCGUGACUAUGGAAAGAAGCAAAGGUCCUUACAUAACUAUCACCAUCGUCGAUAAGGUUUUUCAAUUUCCAUAUGUUCCUUCAAGGUUCUUAUGAAAAUUAAACGAUUACUUUGUCUACCAUCUUCUAAUGCUUUAUCUAGGAAGAACUUAAUCAUCUAUUAGAUAAUAGGUUUACACUCCAUUAGAGGAGGAAGAAACUCCAAUAGAGGAGGAAGAUACAGAUAAAAGGGUCGGAGUUAAAAACUCAACGACAACAAUAACAAUAAUAAAAACGGAAGAUCUAAAGUUAUAAAGGUUUCGGUGAUAAAAGUUGUUGAACCGGAUAUGCGGGUCUGCAGUCGAUGCUCCUAAAAUUCAGAAGAUCCGAGUACUCCCCAAAUCGGGUCAUAGAUCCGCGUCCUUUUUUUUUUUUUGUUAAGUUGCCUUGACUAUUUUGUCCUUUUAAUUUCGUUUCAAAUUGUUCUUCAGUUAUUAAAAUACUAAUGGCAUUCUUUGUAAUUCUUUACCCUUUAUAAGGUUAUUUAUUAUU